ACAGAGGUGGCGAGCGUUGUUCGGAUUUAUUGGGCGUAAAGGGUCUGUAGGCGGUCAGGUAAGUCGGAUGUGAAAUCCCACAGCUUAACUGUGGAACUGCAUUCGAAACUCCCUGACUAGAGUAUGAGAGAGGUAAAGGGAAUUCCCGGUGUAAGGGUGAAAUCUGCAGAGAUCGGGAGGAACACCAGUAGCGAAGGCGCUUUACUGGCUCAUUACUGACGCUGAGGGACGAAAGCUAGGGGAGCAAACGG
rnacentral:rRNA from 1 species